rnacentral:misc_RNA from 1 species
GGAAGUAAAAGUCGUAACAAGAUUUCCGUAGGUGAACCUGCGGAAGGAUCAUUCAUAAUAAGUGUUUUACUGCACUUUUUAAAGAUAGUACUCACCUUGUGUGCAAUGUUGUGUUUCUUUUCGGAGAAACACCUACACCAACCUAUAACCCUGAACCACUUUGUCUGAAAAACUAUUAUGAAUACUUAAUUCAAAAUACAACUUUCAACAACGGAUCUCUUGGCUCUC